rnacentral:rRNA from 1 species
AUUGAACGCUGGCGGCAGGCCUAACACAUGCAAGUCGAGCGGAUGAAGGGAGCUUGCUCCUGGAUGCAGCGGCGGACGGGUGAGUAAUGCCUAGGAAUCUGCCUGGUAGUGGGGGAUAACGUCCGGAAACGGGCGCUAAUACCGCAUACGUCCUGAGGGAGAAAGUGGGGGAUCUUCGGACCUCACGCUAUCAGAUGAGCCUAGGUCGGAUUAGCUAGUUGGUGGGGUAAAGGCCUACCAAGGCGACGAUCCGUAACUGGUCUGAGAGGAUGAUCAGUCACACUGGAAUUGAGACACGGUCCAGACUCCUACGGGAGGCAGCAGUGGGGAAUAUUGGACAAUGGGCGAAAGCCUGAUCCAGCCAUGCCGCGUGUGUGAAGAAGGUCUUCGGAUUGUAAAGCACUUUAAGUUGGGAGGAAGGGCAGUAAGUUAAUACCUUGCUGUUUUGACGUUACCAACAGAAUAAGCACCGGCUAACUUCGUG